UAAUAACCCUUUUACACACAUGUCGCAGAAAGCACGAUGAGGGGAUCCCAAGGGUUAGUCCGUUAGAGAAACUGUUUCUUUGUCUAAAUCACAGAAAGAGUUAGGGCUGGUUAAAACGGUGCCAAGCGGCCGGGGUAAUACCUGCGGCUCGGGUGGGGAUCGCUUUUAUUGGGCCUAAAACGCCCGUAGCCGUUUUGUUAAUGGCUUGGGUAAAUUGUGUGGCUUACCCAUACAAAUCCCGGGUGGAUGGCCGGAUUAGAGACGGGGGGAGGUUAGAGGAACUCCUAGGGUAAAGGUGAAAUUUUGUAAUCUUGGGGGGACCACAAGGGGCGAAGCGUCUUAACCGGAACGGUCUUGAGGGUGAGGGACGAAGCCCUGGGGCGCGAACCGGUUAGAAUACCCGGGUAGCCCAGGGGGUAAACCUUCCUUCUUUGAUGUUAGGUUGACUUCGAGUCUACCUAGUGUCGGAAAAAAAGUUGUUAAGCAAGCUGCUUGGAAAG
rnacentral:rRNA from 1 species